CCUACGGGGCGCAGCAGUGGGGAAUAUUGGACAAUGGGCGAAAGCCUGAUCCAGCCAUGCCGCGUGUGUGAAGAAGGCCUUCGGGUUGUAAAGCACUUUCAGUGGGGAAGAAAGCCUUGGGGCUAAUACCCUCGAGGAAGGACAUCACCCACAGAAGAAGCACCGGCUAACUCCGUGCCAGCAGCCGCGGUAAUACGGAGGGUGCGAGCGUUAAUCGGAAUUACUGGGCGUAAAGCGCGCGUAGGCGGUCUGAUAAGCCGGUUGUGAAAGCCCCGGGCUCAACCUGGGAACGGCAUCCGGAACUGUCAGGCUAGAGUGCAGGAGAGGAAGGUAGAAUUCCCGGUGUGGCGGUGAAAUGCGUAGAGAUCGGGAGGAAUACCAGUGGCGAAGGCGGCCUUCUGGACUGACACUGACGCUGAGGUGCGAAAGCGUGGGUAGCAAACAGGAUUAGAUACCCGUGUAGUC
rnacentral:rRNA from 1 species